AUGUGCAUCGACUUUAAAACCACAGCGGCUUCGAGGAGGCCGGAAAGAGGGUCCGAAUGCCCUGGGCUCGGAGUUCAGGUCCUCGAGGGGACGGUCAAUAGAGGCGCUGACUGCGGACAUGGGCAAAGCCAGCAAAGGGGACGCCACUGUCUUCCAGGUCCCAGGCUUUCCUUCUCGUUGCUUCUCUUGCCUUGUGCAGUGGAAGGAAACGGGAAGCCCAGUGCGAUCCGGGCCGGGGCAGGGCUCCAGGUCUGCUUCCGACGGCUCGGCAGAACCUCCCCCAUCCCCGCGCCUCUGGGAGAGCGCAGGCGCCCGGGCCCCGAGGGCGGGAGACUGGGCAUCCCGGGCCUGGCCGCCUCCCGCUCUUCGCCUUUCCCGCUAAACCCCGGGGAGAGCACUUCCUGUCUCGCCAUGGGUGCCAGCGGCCCGUCUUCCCUUCGGCGGAGCCGGAGCCCCGCGCUCGCACAGACUCACAAGCGGGCGCCCCCUGCCGGCCCGAGCUUCCCGGGGGCCCUCGGCACCCUGCGAGAGGCGGCCCCGCUCCGGCCAGGGCGCUCGCUCCCUGACUCGGGAUGGCCUGGGGGGCGGGGGGUGGGGAGGACAUGCUCCAUCCCCGGGAGCGAGGGCCCGGGUCGCGGAGCGGGCGGCCGCCCUCGGCAUCAUCCAACGCCGGCAGCUGCAGCGGGGUUGGAGAGAGGGGACCCGACGGGGCGGGGCUGGCCCGGAGCGCCUCCCGGGUCGGUCGGUUCCGGGGUCUGCGGCCCUCCUGGGGGCGGGGCGGGGCAUAGAACAGAGCAGCCAGCCCCGGGUACAAGCAUUCGGUCUUUUAUUACAAGGAGCCGGGGCUCGGGCCCUCACUCUCUCAAAAUAGAACUAACUCUGCGAACAAACAACCGGACUGUACAGCUCAUUUACAGGCCCCGGGCGGGGCGGGCGGGGCGGGCGGGGCGGGGCGGGCGGGGGCGGGGCCCGGGCCGCCAGGGCACGCACGCUCGCUCGCUCAGCACAGGUGCUAUCCGACUUUAA
rnacentral:lncRNA from 1 species